rnacentral:lncRNA from 1 species
GCAGUAUUGUUCCACUAUAUGCAAUUUGGAAUUUUUAGUCUUAAAAAUAAUGUUAAUUAUUUUAAGGAUGUGAUCACUGUUGCGGUCAAUCUCUUUGUCGUCCGAUCGCCGGUGUCGCGCACCUACAAGAAAGAGUCCUCACAGACCGGAGAUGCCUCCGGUGGGAACCCUCCGACGAUCAAGUCAAAGAGGAGACUAGGCAACAGUGGAAAAUCAGGGGCUCA